rnacentral:snRNA from 1 species
AAAUAGGGGAUGUGGCUGUGAUAUCUGUCACCCCACUGAUCGCCAAGGUUGAUUCGGCUGAUCUGGAAGGUGUUCCCUUCCUCCCUCACUGCUCCCUGCGACCUUCCCCAAGCUCCAUAGAGGAAGGUCUUCCCGGGGCGGAGACAGACCGGUCUCCCGGUUGGUUCAGGGUCUAGGAGUAGCUGCGCCCCGCUGCUAGAAUCUCCAAAUAAACUCUCAAGGUCCAAAUAAAUAGGGGGUAGGGAAGCAUAAUGGCUAUGCAAAAGACUGGCAAGUGGGAGGCUCUGAGGUUU